AAUGUGUGCUGCGGAAAAAGUGGUAGGGAGUUUGAAGAUUCGUGGAAUUUCGUGAUAUGCUACUACGUAUUUAAAAUAAUUCCUUAUGUUUUAUAUUUAAUUUUUGAUAAAUUAAUCUUUCAUUUUUAUCCCUUAAGUUUAAUUCAUUCCAAGGAGUAACAUAAGUUAACAGUAUUUUCAUUUAUUUUUUCUUACGUUUUUUCAUAUGCAUACGCGUGAAAUGUGAUACAUCAAAUGCUAAUGGUUUUGCUAAGAUCAAGAAAAUAAUUAUAAUAACACUCUUAGAAACAGUUAUCUUUUAAUGUGUGAAUUGAAGCAUAGUUAAAUUAUUCGAUAUCUCAUUAAUAAUCAUGGAUAAAUUGAGAAGAGCUUUGAGCGGUAAAGAGGAGUGCGAUGAAGAAAGUGGUAUCAUUGCACAGGCUGAUGUUAAUUUCGUGGUUAUGGAUCAAACAACACUGAGUUGGUCAACACGCAUAAAAGGUUUCGCUAUUUGUUUUGUCAUAGGCAUUCUUUGUUCUUUUCUUGGAUCAUUUGCCUUAUUUUUAAGAAGAGGACUCACAAUAUUUGCGAUAUUUUACACAUUAGGAAAUAUCAUUUCACUAGCAAGUACUUGUUUUUUGAUGGGUCCUGUAAAUCAAUUUAAAAAAAUGUUUGCUGCGACAAGAAUUAUUGCUACUAUUUUAGUAUUCGUAUCAAUUGGUAUGACAUUAUUUGCAGCUUUACACUUAAACAAUCCUGGUUUGGCUCUUAUAUUUAUCAUUAUUCAAUCUAUAGCAAUGACUUGGUAUUCCUUAUCAUAUAUACCAUAUGCACGAGAUGCUGUAAAGAAAACUGUUGAAUCUUGUAUAACGUAAACAUAUAUCGUUUGGAAAAAAAAAGAAAUAUUGAAUACCAUUGUAUUAAUCAUAUUUAUAAAAAUCUAAAACUUUUGUACAUAUUCUUUGAGUGUAUCAUGUUUGAUAUAUUUUUAAAAAUCAGAAUGCUGUUAUAUAAGAAUUAUUCUCUCUUGGACAUGAAAAUAUAUAGUCUAUAAAAAUACAUUGAAAAUUUUUCGAGUGAUUUCAAGUUCAAAUCUCUCUAUUAUUUACGUAUAUUAAAUAUUUAAUUUGUUUAAAUUGCAGUAUUAAUUUAAUAUUAUGAAGUUAAAAAAGGGGAAAAAAUAUCAAUUAAAAUUGAAACGGCGUUUUCCAUCAAAUCGAAAACCAUAAGCGGCACUAUUAGGUGCAUCGACUAAAGCUGGAUUUCUGUAAAGAUGAAAUGUUCCAUGAAGGUGUGCUGGUCUCGCAGCAUUUUGUUCUUCAGCUUCUUUUCCCUUUAAAUAAAAUGCUUCAAAUUGACCACCA
rnacentral:misc_RNA from 1 species